GCAUGUGGCAUACCAUACAGUAAUUCCCAGAACUGAUUAAAGACAGUGACAGACCGCACUCAGUCAGUUCACUCAUUUUAACUAAAAAUCAGAGUGAUUGACAGAGAAUACAGUAGAAACAUUAUAUUAAUAAUGAAAUGCAUUUUAUUUCAUGG